rnacentral:lncRNA from 1 species
CACACACCCCAGUGGGGAUUCAGAAGAUGGCUCUAUGGGUGGAGGGUGGAUGAACACAGAGCUUUGUCCACACGGCUCCCCAUCCCUCCCUCCUGGGACUCUUCUUUGCCAAUUCCUCAAAGCAAGACCAAAUACCAAAUCCACUGCAAAUGCCAGAUUGAAACCAAAACUAAACAGCACAAAGGACUCCUGAGGCCCCUCCCCUCCCUGAGGACCUACUGGUGGCUAAUGGUUGGGGGAGGGAUCAUUUUCUCUAGUGUUUCAGCCACUGGUGGGCUGUACAUGGUCCAGUAAGUAACCUCCCACCCUUGCUCCUGUGGUGAAACCCAGUGGGUCACACAAGAAAAACAAGUUAAAUUUAAAUCAUUUCAAAGGAGCUGGUGAGAUAAAUCCACAAGUAAAGUUAUUUCCACAUAAGCCCGACAAGAAUUCAACCCCCAGAACCCACACAAGGCCAAGAGAGCGCAGCAGCUCACAUCUGUAAUCCCAGCAUUCCAAGGGGAGAUGGCAGGUGGGGACAGGUGCUGUCCUGGAGUGACAGUAGCCAAUCGUAAGGAGGAAAGAGAAGACCUACUCCUAAAAAUGACCCUCUGACCUCCACAGGCAUGGUGUGACCCAUGUGCACGCAAACACACGCACACACACAUGCACACACACACACACGGAAUAAAAACAUUUUAAACAUAA